GGUUAAGCGACUAAGCGUACACGGUGGAUGCCCUGGCAGUCAGAGGCGAUGAAGGACGUGCUAAUCUGCGAUAAGCGUCGGUAAGGUGAUAUGAACCGUUAUAACCGGCGAUUUCCGAAUGGGGAAACCCAGUGUGAUUCGUCACACUAUCAUUAACUGAAUCCAUAGGUUAAUGAGGCGAACCGGGGGAACUGAAACAUCUAAGUACCCCGAGGAAAAGAAAUCAACCGAGAUUCCCCCAGUAGCGGCGAGCGAACGGGGAGCAGCCCAGAGCCUGAAUCAGUGUGUGUGUUAGUGGAAGCGUCUGGAAAGGCGCGCGAUACAGGGUGACAGCCCCGUACACAAAAAUGCACAUACUGUGAGCUCGAUGAGUAGGGCGGGACACGUGGUAUCCUGUCUGAAUAUGGGGGGACCAUCCUCCAAGGCUAAAUACUCCUGACUGACCGAUAGUGAACCAGUACCGUGAGGGAAAGGCGAAAAGAACCCCGGCGAGGGGAGUGAAAAAGAACCUGAAACCGUGUACGUACAAGCAGUGGGAGCCUCUUUAUGGGGUGACUGCGUACCUUUUGUAUAAUGGGUCAGCGACUUAUAUUCUGUAGCAAGGUUAACCGAAUAGGGGAGCCGAAGGGAAACCGAGUCUUAACUGGGCGUUAAGUUGCAGGGUAUAGACCCGAAACCCGGUGAUCUAGCCAUGGGCAGGUUGAAGGUUGGGUAACACUAACUGGAGGACCGAACCGACUAAUGUUGAAAAAUUAGCGGAUGACUUGUGGCUGGGGGUGAAAGGCCAAUCAAACCGGGAGAUAGCUGGUUCUCCCCGAAAGCUAUUUAGGUAGCGCCUCGUGAAUUCAUCUCCGGGGGUAGAGCACUGUUUCGGCAAGGGGGUCAUCCCGACUUACCAACCCGAUGCAAACUGCGAAUACCGGAGAAUGUUAUCACGGGAGACACACGGCGGGUGCUAACGUCCGUCGUGAAGAGGGAAACAACCCAGACCGCCAGCUAAGGUCCCAAAGUCAUGGUUAAGUGGGAAACGAUGUGGGAAGGCCCAGACAGCCAGGAUGUUGGCUUAGAAGCAGCCAUCAUUUAAAGAAAGCGUAAUAGCUCACUGGUCGAGUCGGCCUGCGCGGAAGAUGUAACGGGGCUAAACCAUGCACCGAAGCUGCGGCAGCGACGCUUAUGCGUUGUUGGGUA
rnacentral:rRNA from 1 species